rnacentral:rRNA from 1 species
GAUGAACGCUGGCGGCGUGCCUAAUACAUGCCAGUCGAGCGAACAGACGAGGAGCUUGUUCCCCUGACGUUAGCGGCGGACGGGCGAGUAACACGUGGAUAACCUACUUAUAAGACUGGGAUAACUUCGGGAAACCGGAGCUAAUACUGGAUAACAUGUCGAACCGCAUGGAUCAACAGUGAAAGACGGUCUUGCUGUCACUUAUAGCUGGUUCCGCGUCGCAUUAGCUAGUUGGUAAGGUAACGGCUUACCAAGGCAACGAUGCGUAGCCGACCUGAGAGGGUGAUCGGCCACACUGGAACUGAGACACGGUCCAGACUCCUACGGGAGGCAGCAGUAGGGAAUCUUCCGCAAUGGGCGAAAGCCUGACGGAGCAACGCCGCGUGAGUGAAGAAGGUCUUCGGAUCGUAAAGCUCUGUUAUUAGGGAAGAACAGCUGUGUAAGUAACUAUGCCCGUCUUGACGGUACCUAAUCAGAAAGCCACGGCUAACUACGUG